AGCAGCCGCGGUAAUUCCAGCUCCAAUAGCGUAUAUUAAAGUUGUUGCAGUUAAAAAGCUCGUAGUUGAAUUUCGGGGUUAGUAGGUUGGUCAUGCCUCUGGUAUGUACUGGUCUCACUGAUUCCUCCUUCCUGAUGAACCUUAAUGCCAUUAAUUUGGUGUUUUGGGGAAUUUGGACUGUUACUUUGAAAAAAUUAGAGUGUUCAAAGCAAGCUAACGCUUGAAUACAUUAGCAUGGAAUAAUGAAAUAGGACGUUCGAUCCUAUUUUGUUGGUUUCUAGGAUUUGACGUAAUGAUUAAUAGGGAUAGUUGGGGGCAUUAGUAUUCAAUUGUCAGAGGUGAAAUUCUUGGAUUUUAUUGAAGACUAACUACUGCGAAAGCAUUUGCCAAGGAUGUUUUCAUUAAUCAAGAACGAAAGUUAGGGAUCGAAGACGAUCAGAUACCGUCGUAGUCUUAACCAUAAACUAUGACCGACUACGGGAUCGGAUAGAUAGUUUAAUUUUUUAUAGUACUCUAUUCG
rnacentral:rRNA from 1 species